GGUGUACCAGAUGUGGCCAUAGGGGACCGAUCGAGCGACAAGCUGCAGAACGCCAUAUAUUUUGUCAUAGAUGGAGACCAGAUGGACGUCUUGGAGUUGCUGACGCAGCAGGGUGAAGACCAUUGGCUUCCAUGGUAACAAAAACGACCAUUAUUGCACAUUGCCUGUGAAUGGGGCGCUUGGAACUGUGUGAAGCACCUGGUUCUGGAGAGAUCGGACGAGAUCAACCAGUGCUACGAUGAGUACUACCCUAUUCAUCAAGCUGCUCUCCGUGACCUCGGAUUUCUCGAUCUGCUUAUCCAGUGCUGCGCAGAAACCACCGUGUGCGCAUACACGCAUCAGAUGACCGUUCUCCACUUAGUUUUCCUCCUGGGUACAAAGAGUGCCGAGGACACGUUGGAGACUGAAAUUGUUCCUACAGCACGGCCUCAAAGAGCGCACAAACACUGCCGACUCUCAGGAAUACACCAGUCCACGC